UGCCCAUAUGGCGGAAUGGUAGACGCAAGGGACUUAAAAUCCCUGGUUUAAAAAACAUGUCAGUUCAAAUCUGACUUUGGGUAA
rnacentral:tRNA from 1 species